GGAUGUGAGGGCGAUCUAGCUGUGACAUCUGUCACCCCAUUGAUCGCCAGGGUUGAUUUGGCUGAUUGGCUGAUCUGGCUGGCUAGGCGGGUGUUCCCUUCCUCCCUCACCGCUCCAUGUGUGUCCCUCCUGAAGCUGGGCACUCCAUCUAAGAGGACAGCCUUCCCCGAAUAGAGAUGGACCGGUCUUCGGUCGAGGGUAUACAAGUAGCUGCGCUUCCCUGCUAGAACCUCCAAACAAGCUCUCAAGAGAAUGGCACAGAAAAGAUAGUCCCUAAAUCUUCUGGAAGAAAUACAUUUGCUGCUACCUUGAUUUCAGAUACCCAUCUGCCAGAACUGU
rnacentral:snRNA from 1 species